GAAGAAGAAGAGCGUUUUUGUGGCUCGUCCUGUGUAAACUUGUUAAUUUUCUCCUUUCAAGAUGCCGACGUCUCGGGAGAGAAUGUGCCGCUCGGAAAUGCAGGACAGAUGCCAGGGAAGUCCAGAACACAUUGACAUGUCUGCGUUGUUUGCAACAUGACUUUGUGACUUCAAGGCAUCUGAACAGAAUCUCCACUUCGAGUUCCAUUCCGGAAUAGGAAUGCGUGUGCUGAUACCUGAUUCCAGACCAUGACACUGAUGUGCUUUCUGAAAAUUCAGGUUUGUGAAAUGUUAAGUCACUGGCUACAUUUGAAAUGUUACCCCAUCUCCCUUAAUGCACCUUGAAGGGUAUUAGGUGGGACUUUGGAUGCAGACUCUUUCACUAGCCCCUUUUGGUUAGCCGACUAUUCAAGAUGGCCUCUUGGAAUUACUGUUUAGUUGCCAUGGCUACCGGUACAUGCUACAGUCCCAAUGAUGACAAACUUAGCUCACUUUGAACCGAUGUGAAACGACAUGAACUACUGAGUGGCUGUAGCUAAUGCA